ACGAACGCUGGCGGCGUGCCUAACACAUGCAAGUCAACUUGACUGAAGGAGCAAUCUGACAGUAGAGUGGCGCAAGGGUGCGUAACGCGUAAGUAACUUGCCCCAAGGUAAGGAAUAACGUCGAGAAAUCGGCGCUAAUACCUCAUAAUGCAGCGGAUCCGCAUGGAUAUGUUGUUAAAGGUUUACCGCCUUGGGAUAGGCUUGCGUCUGAUUAGUUAGUUGGUGUGGUAACGGCACACCAAGGCUACGAUCAGUAACUGGUCUGAGAGGAUGAUCAGUCACACUGGAACUGAGACACGGUCCAGACUCCUACGGGAGGCAGCAGUGAGGAAUAUUGGGCAAUGCUCGAAAGAGUGACCCAGCAACGCCGCGUGGAGGAUGAAGGUAUUCUAUAUCGUAACCUCCUGUGAGAGCAGACGAAAGACAGAUUAUUAAUCUGGAUGACUGUAUGCUCAGAGGAAGCCCCGGCUAACUACGUG
rnacentral:rRNA from 1 species